ensembl:lncRNA
GAGGAGAUCCUGGCAGAGCCACGGGCAUGGCCAGGCCCCAGAGAGGGUGAAAGAGCAAGAGGAAAGCUGAGGGCAAGUGCAUUUAUGACCCUCCCCUGCCAUGCGAGCUGCUGCCAAGGACCUCCUUCUGGAGAAGUGUCCACCCCAAUGUCCACAAACUGAGAUCUGGGCUUGCUUAGCACCUGCCCAGCAGCUGACUGGGGGCCUCCACAGAUACGAGUUGAGGAGCCAGCUCAAAGUGACCUUGUGCUAAAUCUGGCCAACUCCACAGAUCCUGUCAUGACUGGGUCUGCACUUGGCAGUGAGGAGCCAGCGGGAGGAGAGGCACAGGCUGCACCCCCCUGGAGACAGCAGGAGCAUCUCAGAGGAGCAAAGACGCCAGCCGAGCGCUGAGCCAGCUCAGGAAGGUGCGCGGGGGCAAGGCCUCCUCACGAUCCAGCUCAGUGGGUUAGGGGCUGGGAGGCACCGUGCAAUUCCCAAGCCAGGUGAAAACUACACGGGUUUCAAGGAGGAGGCCACUUCCAGCUCUGAAUAACAGAAGCAUCCAGAAGGAAGUAACCAGAGGCUUCUGCCAAUUGAUCUGGAGACUGGGAAAAGGUCCCACAGUUAUUAAUAACCCCCUGUUCUGGGAACUGAUGUCAUGCACCAGACAAAGGGAUUAAAAAGAUGCUGUGGAAGGCAAAGUGGUUUCAGCCGGAGCUCCAUUUUCUCUUCUCCAAUCAGAUAGCAUUUUUCUCCCCCGGAACACUCCGGGCUGCCUGGCCUCUUGACAGACCUGGCGAGCGGCAGCUGUGUGGCUGAUCGCCAUACUUUUAUAGCCGCUCAGUCUUCGUGGCGUCCUUUCUGUGGGCGACCCCCAUUUCAGUCUGCUCUGAGAUGGGGUGAAAACAGGGGUUUGUGUGGCUUCUGGGAAACAGAGCUGAGGCUGGCCCCUCAGGGCCUGCGGCCUUAGCAGCACGGCUGCUGGAAUCCUGGAAGACAGAAACUGUGUCAAUUAAACUUUGCAAAGUCAGGGCCCUGAACAUCACCUUGUCACCCGAGUGGCAGUGAUGUUGGCUGCGUGGCUGCCGUUUCGCGUGUCCAGGCCCACUCAGGAAGAGGCCACGAAUGACUAGAUCAGAGACCUGAGAGGGCGUCAGAGAAUCCGUCCUUGGAAACAGGUCAGAAAUGACGGAAGAGUGGUUUUAUGGAGACGCAACCUGAAACGGCUCCGUGAAGAAGACGGACGUGCCGAGUUUCCACACGGACAUGGAGGAGCUGGAGCGCUCCCAUAUUUUGCCUGGAAAUGCAAAACGCCACUCUGGAGCCCGGGUGGCAGCUUCUCAUAGGGUUAAGCUACACGCACCAGGUGGCCCAGCCAUCCCACUGCCAGGUGUUCACUGAGGACAACUGAAAGCCCGGUCACACACAGACUCGUGCUUGUCUUUCACAGACGCUUUAUCCGUAACAGACACGCACCACAAACAACUCGUGUCAUCAAGUGCUGAACAAAUUGUAGCAACCCCUACACUGGAAACCAGUUCGCCACUAAAAAGAGUGAACUCCGAUCCGCCACAGCAGACGCAUCUCAAAAGCGUUCCACACAGGAGAGAAUCUGGGUACAGAAGACUACAUUCCGGAUGAUUCCAUUCACGCAAAAGUACAGAAAUGUGGAACUGUGCUUUCAGAAAGCUGGUUGGCGGUGGCCAGGGCCCGGGGUGGCGGACGGGGACUGACUGCAAAGGGCUGGAGAGAACUUUUUUAGGUGAUGGUUGUUUUACAACUGUGUACAUUUGUCGAAACUCUUUGAAUUUUUAUUUAAAAUUGGUAAAUUUUGGUGUAUGUAAAUUAUACCUGAAUAAAGCUGAUUUUAAAAAUAAGGGUAUAUAAUAAUGAAAAGCAAAAACCCCACAGUCUGCAAAAAAAUUAACGAAGUGCGAGAGGAUUGCCCAGUGUGGAGAGUUAACUCCAGCAGGUCUGCCGGGAGUCAGCUCCAUCUGGGGAGGGGCUGUGCUGGGCGCGGUGUGGACAAGGUGGCCCAGUGGGUCAUUCCUCCAGGCGGUGGUUCUCAAGCACUGGGGGCCUCGGGACAGCCUGGGGACCUUGGCGAAAACACGGUGGCCGAGGCCCCCGCUGCAGUGAACCGGGCCCUGGAUGUUCUCUCUCAGCUCUGGCUGGGCUGGGCGUCACCUGUUUCAUCCAGCUCCCCCUGCAGCCUCCUCCUUGGAGCUCUGCACACUUUCUUUCCGCUGCUGGAACGCUUGAGCACCUGUCUGCUCCCGGGAUCGGGUUAAGUCCACUUGUUAUGUGCCUAAGGGUCACUGUACUUGCCUUUGUGACACGCACAACUUGUGUAGUUGCUUCUUUAGUGUCUGUCUCCUCCACUGGACAGUAAACUCUGUGAGGGCCGAGACCAGGUCGCCAACGCUUGGAACGGUGCCUGACACACUGUUAAUAUACCUCUUCUUUGAUCAGGUCCUGAGGAGACGCCCAGCGGGUUCAGGGAGGUCGAUGUCUAGACUGUGGCCCAGUGGGUGGAGCCAAGUCAGCCCCUCCUUUCAAACCCAGAGCAGCCACCCGGUUAGAUUAGUCUUCUUGAUGACAAGGCAGGUGGGUAACGGGUAAACCAAGCUUGAAACAAAGCCGGGCUUCGGGUUUGUCCUCCAGAGGUGAAGCUUCUCUCCACGUGCUUUGACUUGGGUCCCUGGGAGUCGCCUCCCCCAGCUACGGCCUUCAGAGAAGACCAUGAGUGCUGAGCCUUGAGCGCUGUCCCUGAGCCUGUGGCUCUCUGUGAGGACGAGGGGCGGAAGUGAAAACGACAGUGGACAGCUCUAAACCCGCACUAGUAUGGCUAGAAUGAAACUGACUGCCCUUACCAAGUACGGGUAAGGAUGUGGAGCCGCUGCGACUCUCCUACGUGGCUGGUGGAAAUGCAAACUGCUCUGGAAACAGUUCGGCAGACUCCCAUAAAGUUAAAAUACACUCAUCCUAUAACCCAGAGACCCCAGUCCUAGGUGUUUACCCAGGAGAAGUGAAAACAUAUGCUCAUUCAGAGCUCUGCGCAUGAAUGUUUCCAGCAGCUUUAUCCAUGGUAUGAAACUGGAAACACUCCGGAUGCCCUUCAGCGGAUGCCUGGACAACUGCGCUCCAUCCGCCCAGCAGGACGCUGCCCAGUGAUAGAAAGGACAAACUCUUAGCACAUGCACAACCUUGAACGCAUCGUGUUCUGUAAAAGAAACAAAACUGAGGACAUGCCUCACGAGUCCAUUCACUUGACAUUAUAGUACAGGCGGACUGUGGGGUCGGAAAUGAGGGCAGAGGCUGCUGGGAGCCAGGGGUCAGGGGAGGAGAUCGACGGCAAAAGGGAAUGAGGGAACUUUCGAGGUGAUGGAAAUAUUAUAUAUCUCGAGAGUGGUGCUGGUUGCAUAAGUGUAUGCAUUUGUCAAAACUCAUUCAACUGUCCGCUUAAAUUUUUAAAGAUGAAAUAAAUAAAAUUGUAUUGUAUGUAAAUUACGUCUCAAUAGAGCUGACUUUUAAAAAUGAGGGACAAAGACAGUAAGUGCUUUUGGAACACUGAGCAGGGGAGAAUCAAUUUACAGUUUGGUUCCUUGCUUAAAUGUUGCCUUUCCUUCAUGUUCG